GAAUCUUUUUCUGGGGAUCCCUCCUUGAUGCAGCUUUCCCUUGUGAUCCUGAAAUCUUCUGAUACAGGCUAGAUAAACCAAGUGUCCUCAGCCUCUCCUCAGGCGAAGUACCCUCUGGCCCUUUUAUCCGCUUUGCUGCCUACCUCUGCGCACUUUCAAGGAGCCGAACAUCAUUUUUAAUUGUGGAUUCCAGAACUGCAUGCAGUAUUAAAGGGCCAGAGUAAUCCCAAGAAAACAGAAGAUACUCUGAAAACACAGUCCUUCAGUUUCAAGCUUCUUGAGAUUCUGAAUAUAAUCACGGCAGAUAUGUGUACAUCUCUUAUUGCUUGGCUGAGCACAAAAGACUUAGAAGCAAUCCUACAGGAAAAAGACCCACUCCCUUUAUGCAUUCUUAAAAAUCAUUAAUGCUUUCUGGCAAGAGUAUGCAAGGCAGUUGUAAUAAUGGAGCAAUAUAAUUAACCUUCUUUAUAAAUGAAAUGUGCAAAUAUAAUACAUAGCACACAAGCUAGAUAGAAUUAUCUCUCCUUCAUUGUAGAUUUAGUUGGGAAUAAAUAGGUUCCUAACAGCUGCUCUGUGGAUUGGGAAUUUGAAACAUCUUUUACUUCUUCUCCUUCAAAGAUCUACUGAGAACCCGGGGCUAAGAAUGGCUAAAUGUGAAAUGUAGUCAUAUAUUAUUAUAUACAGAAUCAAUAUUUCCAAAGGCCAUCCAAACUGUUUGAGAAAAGAAGAAUUUGGCAUACUUUCUGUAAACUUCAAAAGAAGCAAAGCUGGAAAUACUUGUUUUACUUAUCAAUUGCAGUUUAACCGACAGAAUUCUGUGUAAGGCAAAGAUGGUAAAAGAAGAAAUUAAUUAUUCAUGUAGCCAUCAUUGAUUGGGAAUUCUCUUUAGCAGCUGUGGGAGAGAAACCCUGCAUAAUCCAUAAAAGGUAAAUGUAUUAUUUGAAGUAAAAUAUUGUCUGAUAUGAAGGGGGAGAUUUUUCUAACCAUUUUUGCGUAAAUGUGGAAGAGCCAUUCCCGUCCUUAAGGACAGGGCUGAACACAAUCCUUAUCUUUUGUAGAGAAAAAAUAGGUGGUUCCUUUUUUGAAUAUGUGUGGUCAUUUAUUUGUGUUACCUGUUUAAAAUACAAGAACCUGAUAAAAAGUCAAAAAACUGAAAUGGAAGGAGCUGAGAAUCCUAUAUGUUUUCCUUUAGAAAUAAAAUGACUCCAGUGAAU
ensembl:lncRNA